rnacentral:rRNA from 1 species
AUGGGUCCGCACGGAAACCGGCUGCUCCCCGUUCUCCUGGCCCUCGUCGCCGCAGCGGGGCCCGCGCCGUCGUCCGUCGCCGGUGACGACAGGGCGGUGGCGGAGGUCUCCGGCGCGCCGGAGGGGGUCGUGUGGGUGGCCCAGCUCUCGGAUCUCCACUUCAGCGUGCACCACCCGGAGCGCGCCUACGACUUCCGGCGAUACGUCGGCCCGGCGCUCGCCAUGGUCAACCCCGACCUCGUCUUCAUCACCGGCGACCUCACCGAGGGGAAAAGCAAAGAUCUGCUUACAAUGAAGCAAAAUGAGGUGGAGUGGAUGGAAUAUAGUAGUACGAUGAAGGAUGUCAUUGAGAGUAGCAAGCUUCCAAGGAAAAAAUUCUAUGAUCUGAGAGGAAACCAUGAUAGCUUUGGUGUACCUGUGUCUGGUGGGGACUAUGACUUCUACGAGAAAUAUAGCAUCAAUGCUAACCUAAGACGACAGGGGCGCGUGCAAAGCAUCACUUUGGAGAACAAUGGUCGGAAACAUCUGUUUGUUGGCUUCGAUAGCACAAUGGAGAUCGGACUUAGGGGCCCAACGAAUUUAUUUGGGCAUCCAACUGACAAGCAGCUUAUAGAACUGGACCAAUCACUGUCGCAGUGGGACACUGACUUCAACAAGGCUCCAGUUACAAAAAUUACAGUUGGGCACUUCCCGAUGUCUUUCUCGGCAUUAACAGAAUCAGGAAAAAGUAUCAAGGAUGUCUUUCUGAAGCACUCAUUAGCAGCAUACUUGUGUGGACAUCUUCACACAAGGUUUGGCAAGAAUUUGAAGCGUUACUAUCAUCGAGCAACUCAGGAACCAUCACUGUAUGAACACUACUACCAAUCUAACAUGCACCAAGGCUAUGCAAUGCCGAGUGCUGAAGAGAACUGUUCUGAAGCAGCAGCACCUUUUGAGGAGUUCUGGGAGUGGGAGAUUGGCGAUUGGAAAAGGAGUAGAAGUAUGAGGAUAUUAGCAAUUGAUGAUGGAUUUGUCUCCUUUACUGACAUAGAUUUCAGGUUAGGCUCAAAAAGUGUAAUUAUACUACCUACCUUCCCUCUGGACUCGAGAUUUAUGCAGAGAACAUCUGCUCCUCGUGAUUUCAAAUGUCACACCAUGGGAGCUUCAACUUUUGAUACGGUGAGGGCGCUUGUAUUCUCUCGACAUGAGAUAGUAACUGUCUUAGCAAAGAUAUAUGACUCAAGACCAGGAAACCUUGAAGUGGUAUUCGACAGCGAAAUGAAAAGAGUGAGUGCCAAUGAUUCUAGAGGAGAUAUGUAUUUGAUUCCGUGGAACUGGAGAGCAUUUGCAGAUCCUUCUCCAGAUCGGUACUGGCUGCAAAUCGAAGCGAUGGAUAUAACAGGUGACAUUAGUGUCAGCCAGUUGAGGCCAUUCUCUGUGAAUGGGUUGUUUGCAGAAGUUAACUGGACAUGGAAGGAGUUUUUCGUGAUGGGCAUCCAGUGGGCGUCGGUAUAUCACCCCGCACUGCAGUGUGUUCUUGCUCUGAUUUUCACACUGCUUCUUGUGCCACGAGCUUCAGUAGUGCUACUUAAGGAUCAACAAUCUGUGUACACAUAUCUGCGUGCAGGCGGUAGUCAGUAUACAUCACUGAAGUAUCUACUUGGUGGUUUUAUCUGGCUUUUUGUUGAGCUGUCCAGGAUGAUUCUUGUGUGGUCUUUGCUGUUGGUGUAUAUAAUCUAUCUGUUGGUCUUCCCUUGGUUUUCUGGUCACCCUGUAACCGAGGAUAGUAGCCUCGCAUCCAUGACAUUCAGAGGUUGGGCUCUUAAAAAUGGUAUGAAAACUUUCCAUGCCGGCACUCCAGACGUCAUGGUCAUCGUUCUACCUCACCUCUGUUUUGUGGUAUUGCCUACGAUUGUGAUUCUUGCCGCGAUGGCUGCCGAGAGGACUGCAUUCCGAGAACACUACCUCUCACAGUCAGGAAAGAAGAAAGAUGAUCCCCACCAAAAGAGCAGGAGAGAGGUAGGGCAUGAUAGCUUGUGGAGCGGUCGCUGGAUAAGGAAAAUCUUCAUCGCUUUCUGUUUGGUGGUUCUGUGGAAACACUGGAAGCUGUGCAGAGCUCUUAUGAAGGCCUAUGCCAUGGACCCUCUGCUCCAUUCUCCGGUGCUCUUCUACUUCAUACCGGCGCUCAUGGCGUUUGCUGUCUACAGAACCUUGUCCAUUUAG